UGCUGACAAUGGCAUGAAAAAGCGAAGAGAAACGCCUCCACACACUGGGGGGCACUAGAUGUGUCCAGCAUCUACAAAAGUCUGUCUCGGCUUGACGACUUUGUGUGGAGGGUGUGAAGCUGUCCUCGUGUUUCACGGCCGGCCGACAGUUUACUGAGAGAAAACACAAGGGCGAUGCUGAUCAAACAUCAUCUACAGCAACCAAUCACCUGUUGCACCUGCAUCCUGGUUCACCUGCAUCUCCCUCAGCAUCCUAAUGUCUUCCUUAACUAUACCGUUAUAAAAAGGAGGCGAGCUGACAGUUUGAAACCUUUGUGAGCAUCUCUUGUUUGCUGGAGCUGUGUUUAGACCCGUGGUCAGCAUGCAAGGACGCCUGGUGGUUGUCGCGGUGGCUCUGAUGGUGUUGUGUCAGCUGACUGACUCCGCCGCUGUUCCGGAUAAAGCUGACAGGGGCUGGAAUCCCGAUGUGUUGCUGCCUCACAGGAGACCCCACAUCACCAUAGAACGUCGACCUCGUCCUCGUCCUCGUCCCUGGGGUCAUUUCCCACGGACGACAACUCCAGUUCGCUGCUACUGUUUUAAGGCCCCUUGUAAUUGUUGAUGAUGAGCCGAGCAUCCUCUCAAAACACUUGUGAAACUUUCCACAUCUUGACAGUAAUGUCAGUGUUUUAGUGUCAUGGCGCAGAUGGCAACUAGUCAGGCAGUGAAAGUAGUGUCAAUAAUACUGAUGACAAUAUCACAUACAUGUCAUCCCAGAAUAAUGUAUUUGUGUGUAGUAUCACAGCAAUAAAAUUCCAACUUUGAGAUCUCUCAAUUUCUCUGUGUGAUCGUGUGUAUCUCUCUCUCUCACCUGUGUGUGUGUGUGUUGAAUACCUUUACACCUUGUCUUUCUAGUCUGUCCUUCUCAAAGUGGGGAACCCCUCGCUUUCCGACUGGUAUUUUUGAAUUAUUUAUAUAAAUUAACCUACAACAAAGAAAACCAUCUGUGGUAAACCGUUUAAAAGUGCAUUAUUAUAACAUCUGUUGUGUAAAUUUGAAGAAAAUAUAGAAUAUUUUCUUGUACAAACAUCAAAUGAAAGAUUGUAACUGUAUGGGACAGAGAGGCGAGAACAGAAAAGUAGAUCCAACAUUUUUUCAACAAGAUAAUUGUUUACGCAUUAAAUACAAACAGUUAGAGCCAAACAAACAGGUUUUAUUAAAAUAUUCAUCACAAGUUGA